UGCAAGUCGAGCGGAUGAAGGGAGCUUGCUCCCUGAUUCAGCGGCGGACGGGUGAGUAAUGCCUAGGAAUCUGCCUGGUAGUGGGGGACAACGUCUCGAAAGGGACGCUAAUACCGCAUACGUCCUACGGGAGAAAGCAGGGGACCUUCGGGCCUUGCGCUAUCAGAUGAGCCUAGGUCGGAUUAGCUAGUUGGUGAGGUAAUGGCUCACCAAGGCGACGAUCCGUAACUGGUCUGAGAGGAUGAUCAGUCACACUGGAACUGAGACACGGUCCAGACUCCUACGGGAGGCAGCAGUGGGGAAUAUUGGACAAUGGGCGAAAGCCUGAUCCAGCCAUGCCGCGUGUGUGAAGAAGGUCUUCGGAUUGUAAAGCACUUUAAGUUGGGAGGAAGGGCAUUAACCUAAUACGUUGGUGUUUUGACGUUACCGACAGAAUAAG
rnacentral:rRNA from 1 species